rnacentral:rRNA from 1 species
GACAGAGGAUGCAAGCGUUAUCCGGAAUGAUUGGGCGUAAAGCGUCUGUAGGUGGCUUUUCAAGUCCGCCGUCAAAUCCCAGGGCUCAACCCUGGACAGGCGGUGGAAACUGCCAAGCUGGAGUACGGUAGGGGCAGAGGGAAUUUCCGGUGGAGCGGUGAAAUGCGUAGAGAUCGGAAGGAACACCUGUGGCGAAAGCGGCUCACUGGACCAUAACUGACGCUGAGGCGCGAAAGCUAGGGGAGCAAACAGG